GAUGAACGCUGGCGGCGUGCCUAAUACAUGCAAGUCGAGCGAACAGACGAGGAGCUUGCUCCUCUGACGUUAGCGGCGGACGGGUGAGUAACACGUGGAUAACCUACCUAUAAGACUGGGAUAACUUCGGGAAACCGGAGCUAAUACCGGAUAAUAUAUUGAACCGCAUGGUUCAAUAGUGAAAGACGGUUUUGCUGUCACUUAUAGAUGGAUUCGCGCCGCAUUAGCUAGUUGGUAAGGUAACGGCUUACCAAGGCAACGAUGCGUAGCCGACCUGAGAGGGUGAUCGGCCACACUGGAACUGAGACACGGUCCAGACUCCUACGGGAGGCAGCAGUAGGGAAUCUUCCGCAAUGGGCGAAAGCCUGACGGAGCAACGCCGCGUGAGUGAUGAAGGUCUUCGGAUCGUAAAACUCUGUUAUUAGGGAAGAACAAAUGUGUAAGUAACUAUGCACGUCUUGACGGUACCUAAUCAGAAAGCCACGGCUAACUACG
rnacentral:rRNA from 1 species